UUGCUUUGCAGUCAUAAUCUAGCAACUCGGCUCAAGAGGGACCAAGAGAUAUUUCACUUCUGCUUCAAUAUGCUCAAGUACAUCAGCGACAAGGAAUUCUCGAUGGCAACCCUCGAAAACCCGAUAAAGAACUUGCAAAGCCAUCAGGCACCUACUCCAGGUGAG